UAAAAUCUCAAGCUCAGCUUGGUGUUGGGUGUUCGCCCCUCUCCGUUCCAAGGGGGGUCGGGGCGUGCCUGAAAAUCAGUGGCGGUGCCAUGAUGGCCUCAAGCGUAGUAGACUCUCUCUCGCUUUUUGAUGGUUUGUCGUGUGGCUCACCAGCCUAACUUGAAAUCUUAGAAAG
rnacentral:misc_RNA from 1 species